rnacentral:snRNA from 17 species
GAUGGGGACGACAACGAUGUUAUAGUUCUCGACUCUAGUGACGAUGAAAAUGAUGCCUACAACGAUAAUGGUGGAGACGACAUCUUAGCAGUUUAUACUGAUGUUGACGAGGAUGUUGAUGAGGAUGC